rnacentral:rRNA from 1 species
GACGAACGCUGGCGGCGUGCUUAACACAUGCAAGUCGAACGAUGAAGCGGCCAGCUUGCUGGUGGUGGAUUAGUGGCGAACGGGUGAGUAACACGUGAGUAACCUGUCCUUCACUCUGGGAUAAGCCCUGGAAACGGGGUCUAAUACUAGAUAUUCUCAAUGUGCCGCAUGGUGUGUUGUGGAAAGAUUUUUUGGUGAGGGUUGGACUCGCGGCCUAUCAGCUUGUUGGUGGGGUAGUGGCCUACCAAGGCUUUGACGGGUAGCCGGCCUGAGAGGGUGACCGGCCACACUGGGACUGAGACACGGCCCAGACUCCUACGGGAGGCAGCAGUGGGGAAUCUUGCACAAUGCGCGAAAGCGUGAUGCAGCAACGCCGCGUGCGGGAAGACGGCCUUCGGGUUGUAAACCGCUUUCAGUUGGGACGAAGGUCGGGUGGUUAAUAGCUAUUCCGACUGACGGUACCUUCACAAGAAGCCCCGGCUAACUACGUGCCAGCCGCCGCAGUAAAAC